AUUUAGAUUGAAAACAUGAUGUAUAUCUGAAAGACCCCUGGAGCGGGGAGACCCUCACUCAAGUCUCGGGAUGACGUGACCCCCCAAGAACUCACCAGAGACA
rnacentral:pre_miRNA from 14 species